rnacentral:rRNA from 1 species
GACGAACGCUGGCGGCGUGCUUAACACAUGCAAGUCGAACGGAAAGGCCCUGCUUCUGUGGGGUGCUCGAGUGGCGAACGGGUGAGUAACACGUGAGUAACCUGCCCUUGACUUUGGGGUAACUUCAGGAAACUGGGGCUAAUACCGGAUAGGAGCUCCUGCUGCAUGGUGGGGGUUGGAAAGUUUCGGCGGUUGGGGAUGGACUCGCGGCUUAUCAGCUUGUUGGUGGGGUAGUGGCUUACCAAGGCUUUGACGGGUAGCCGGCCUGAGAGGGUGACCGGCCACAUUGGGACUGAGAUACGGCCCAGACUCCUACGGGAGGCAGCAGUGGGGAAUAUUGCACAAUGGGCGGAAGCCUGAUGCAGCAACGCCGCGUGCGGGAUGACGGCCUUCGGGUUGUAAACCGCUUUCGCCUGUGACGAAGCGUGAGUGACGGUAAUGGGUAAAGAAGCACCGGCUAACUACGUG